rnacentral:rRNA from 1 species
UACGUAGGGUGCGAGCGUUGCCCGGAUUUAUUGGGCGUAAAGGGCGCGUAGGCGGUGAGAUGCGUCUGUUGUGAAAUCGCUCGGCUCAACUGGGCGGGGUCAGCGGAUACGGUCUCACUUGAGCAAGCUAGGGGGCAAUGGAAUUCCCGGUGUAGUGGUGGAAUGCGUAGAUAUCGGGAGGAACACCAGUGGCGAAGGCG